rnacentral:rRNA from 1 species
GAUGAACGCUGGCGGCGUGCUUAACACAUGCAAGUCGAACGAAGCAGAUGAGAAAGCUUGCUUUUUUAUUUCGCUUAGUGGCGGACGGGUGAGUAACGCGUGAGUAACCUGCCCUUCAGUGGGGAAUAACAUCGAGAAAUCGGUGCUAAUACCGCAUAACGUAUUUAUGUCGCAUGACAUUUAUACCAAAGGAUUUAUUCGCUGAAGGAUGGACUCGCGUCCGAUUAGAUAGUUGGUGAGAUAAUGGCCCACCAAGUCAACGAUCGGUAGCCGAACUGAGAGGUUGAUCGGCCACAUUGGGACUGAGACACGGCCCAGACUCCUACGGGAGGCAGCAGUGGGGAAUAUUGGGCAAUGGGCGAAAGCCUGACCCAGCAACGCCGCGUGAAGGAUGAAGGUCUUCGGAUUGUAAACUUCUUUGAUUAGGGAAGAAUUUUGACCUACCUAAAGAACAAGUCACGGCUAACUACGUGCCAGCAGCCGCGGUAAAAGUACUCUA